UUUAGGUACCAUGUACAUGUGAGGUGAUGAAGGACCACUAGGUGGCAGCAGAGUCCUAACUCAGGUGUCCAGUUGCUGGGGCACCAAGUCAGGUAACACAAAGAGGAAAAUACAAGAUUGAAAGAAUAGGUUGCUGGAUUACAAAGGGAAAAAGUGGGGCCGGGUGUGGUGGUACAUGCCUUUAAUCCCAGCACACAGGAGGCAGAGGUGGGAGGAUCACCGUGAGUUCAAGGCCACCCUGAGACUACAUAGUGAGUUCCAGCAAUCUCCUUAAUUUUGGGAUCAUCCAGUAGUGAUGGAUCGUCUGGCUUGGCCCUGGAAGCACAAAGAUGACUGAUGUGAAAGAUCACCACGGCUACUACCUGUGAGCAUCCCUCCCACGACAGCCUCAGGGCCUAACGUCAUAGGUUUCUCCUUCUUCGAAGCAGGCAGGAGACACCGAAAGCUUCGUGUCUGCCCCCUGUGUGCACCCAUGGGCUCUGCAGCCUCAGAAUUGAUAAAGGUUGGCCCAGAGCUGCAUGGAAGAAAUGGGACAUUCUCAGAGG